UACGUAGGGUGCAAGCGUUGUCCGGAAUUAUUGGGCGUAAAGAGCUCGUAGGCGGUUUGUCGCGUCUGCUGUGAAAUCUGGAGGCUCAACCUCCAGCCUGCAGUGGGUACGGGCAGACUAGAGUGCGGUAGGGGAGAUUGGAACUCCUGGUGUAGCGGUGGAAUGCGCAGAUAUCAGGAAGAACACCGAUGGCGAAGGCAGAUCUCUGGGCCGUAACUGACGCUGGAGGAAGCGAAAGCAUGGGGAGCGAACAGG
rnacentral:rRNA from 1 species